UACGUAGGGUGCGAGCGUUGUCCGGAAUUACUGGGCGUAAAGAGCUCGUAGGUGGUUUGUCGCGUUGUUCGUGAAAACUCACAACUCAAUUGUGGGCGUGCGGGCGAUACGGGCAGACUGGAGUACUGCAGGGGAGACUGGAAUUCCUGGUGUAGCGGUGAAAUGCGCAGAUAUCAGGAGGAACACCGGUGGCGAAGGCGGGUCUCUGGGCAGUAACUGACGCUGAGGAGCGAAAGCGUGGGGAGCGAACAGG
rnacentral:rRNA from 1 species